UCUGCGACGAGCUUGGCAAUUGAGCAGACGAUUCUGUGCAAGAGUUAGUUCAAUUUGAGGCUGGCCGCCUUCAUCGUGUCGCCUCGCCAAGGGUGGAAGAGGUGUUGAACCCAACUGCGACGAGCUCUGGAUGGGCAGUAUUAUGUUGCUUUGCUGCAAGCAAAUGAAUCGCAGCGCAGGCUGUUGUUUCUUCUUAAUUAGGAAUUUAGAGGCAACCGAUAAAGAAUUGGUUUUGGGCUUAAAGUUGAUUUGUCAGCUCUUUUCUCUUGAUUCACAUAUUCUCUCCUGCUGUCAUCCAAGGUCAGAUGGCUGCCACUCUUCACUAGCAGGCCACCUAUAUUGUUGAUAUUUGAAGUGGUAUGUUUGGGUUGCAGAAUUUUCACUAGCUUAUAAAAUCAAAUGUACCACUUUGAUUACAAGCUGGUGUUGGUCAUCACUCCGGCGAGCUGUACUUUAGCUAUGCACACUUUGAUAGGCAAAACCUUGUGUAUUACUAUUACCUAUCCUAAUGCACAUACUGUAAAACGUUGGUUUACUCUGGGCGAUGUUUAA